CUUGACCGAGCCGAGCCGGGCCGGGCCGGCGGUGCGGUCCUGACCGUAGGUGGCCAGCACCGCCUGCGCCUC
rnacentral:antisense_RNA from 1 species